UGACUAGUUUAAUUUUCAGACAUUACGAUCGAGGUACAAAAGAAGUCUGGAAAACCAGACGAGCCGUUUAAUGAGAAAAUCACAUUUAAGAGUGAAAAGGAUGUUGAUGUAGAGGAGGUCCAUGUUAACGGGAAAGUUGUGCCAAAGAACGCAGAUGAUGGUUUUGAGGUGGAAAAGGAAGGAAAGACCAUAAUAGUUACAAUUCCCAAAAUGUCUGCGGACUUCGCAGGCCACUACCAAGCCAAGUUCAAGGUCGGAGAUGCGACCGUCACCAAGAACAUUAUGGAGGUCACGCUGUAAGUACUUGUCUGA